rnacentral:rRNA from 1 species
AGCGGACCGAACGAGGGCUUGCUCUGUUUGGUCAGCGGCGGACGGGUGAGUAACACGUGGGCAACCUGCCCGGCAAAGACCGGGAUAAACUCCGGGAAACCGGAGCUAAUACCGGAUAACACCGAAGACCGCAUGGUCUUCGGUUGAAAGGCGGCCUUUGGGCUGUCCCUUGCGGAUGGGCCCGCGGCGCAUUAGCUAGUUGGUGAGGUAACGGCUCACCAAGGCGACGAUGCGUAGCCGGCCUGAGAGGGUGACCCGGCCACACUGGGACUGAGACACGGCCCAGACUCC